rnacentral:rRNA from 1 species
UUGCACGCUGGCGGCAGGCUUAACACAUGCAAGUCGAGCGGUAACAGAGAGAAGCUUGCUUCUCUGCUGACGAGCGGCGGACGGGUGAGUAAUGCCUAGGAAUCUGCCUAGUAGUGGGGGAUAACUUGCCGAAAGGUAAGCUAAUACCGCAUACGUCCUACGGGAGAAAGGAGGGGACCUUCGGGCCUUUCGCUAUUAGAUGAGCCUAGGUCGGAUUAGUUAGUUGGUGAGGUAAUGGCUCACCAAGACCGCGAUCCGUAACUGGUCUGAGAGGAUGAUCAGUCACACUGGAACUGAGACACGGUCCAGACUCCUACGGGAGGCAGCAGUGGGGAAUAUUGGACAAUGGGGGGGAACCCUGAUCCAGCCAUGCCGCGUGUGUGAAGAAGGUCUUAGGAUUGUAAAGCACUUUAAGUUGGGAGGAAGAGCAGUUAACUAAUAUUUGACUGUUUUGACGUUACCGACAGAAUAAGCACCGGCUAACUUCGUG